rnacentral:rRNA from 1 species
UUCCCCUUCGGGGGACGAGGGUGACAGGUGGUGCAUGGUUGUCGUCAGCUCGUGUCGUGAGAUGUUGGGUUAAGUCCCGCAACGAGCGCAACCCUCGACCUUAGUUGCCAGCAUUCAGUUGGGCACUCUAAGGUGACUGCCGGCUAAAAAGUCGGAGGAAGGUGGGGAUGACGUCAAAUCAUCAUGCCCCUUAUGACCUGGGCUACACACGUGCUACAAUGGGCGGUACAAAGGGUCGCGAACCCGCGAGGGGGAGCCAAUCCCAAAAAGCCGCUCUCAGUUCGGAUUGCAGGCUGCAACUCGCCUGCAUGAAGCCGGAAUCGCUAGUAAUCGCGGAUCAGCAUGCCGCGGUGAAUACGUUCCCGGGCCUU